rnacentral:rRNA from 1 species
GCCAGACUCCUACGGGAGGCAGCAGUGGGGGAUAUUGCACAAUGGGGGGAACCCUGAUGCAGCGACGCCGCGUGAAGGAAGAAGUAUCUCGGUAUGUAAACUUCUAUCAGCAGGGAAGAAAAUGACGGUACCUGACUAAGAAGCCCCGGCUAACUACGUGCCAGCAGCCGCGGUAAUACGUAGGGGGCAAGCGUUAUCCGGAUUUACUGGGUGUAAAGGGAGCGUAGGCGGCAGUGCAAGUCAGAUGUGAAAGCCAUGGGCUCAACCUGUGGCCUGCAUUUGAAACUGUUUUUCUUGAGUACUGGAGAGGCAGACGGAAUUCCUAGUGUAGCGGUGAAAUGCGUAGAUAUUAGGAGGAACACCAGUGGCGAAGGCGGUCUGCUGGACAGCAACUGACGCUGAGGCGCGAAAGCGUGGGGAGCAAACAGGAUUAGAUACCCUUGUA